rnacentral:rRNA from 1 species
GAGCACUGUUUCGGCAAGGGGGUCAUCCCGACUUACCAACCCGAUGCAAACUGCGAAUACCGGAGAAUGUUAUCACGGGAGACACACGGCGGGUGCUAACGUCCGUCGUGAAGAGGGAAACAACCCAGACCGCCAGCUAAGGUCCCAAAGUCAUGGUUAAGUGGGAAACGAUGUGGGAAGGCCCAGACAGCCAGGAUGUUGGCUUAGAAGCAGCCAUCAUUUAAAGAAAGCGUAAUAGCUCACUGGUCGAGUCGGCCUGCGCGGAAGAUGUAACGGGGCUAAACCAUGCACCGAAGCUGCGGCAGCGACGCUGAUGCGUUGUUGGGUAGGGGAGCGUUCUGUAAGCCUGUGAAGGUGUGCUGUGAGGCAUGCUGGAGGUAUCAGAAGUGCGAAUGCUGACAUAAGUAACGAUAAAGCGGGUGAAAAGCCCGCUCGCCGGAAGACCAAGGGUUCCUGUCCAACGUUAAUCGGGGCAGGGUGAGUCGACCCCUAAGGCGAGGCCGAAAGGCGUAGUCGAUGGGAAACAGGUUAAUAUUCCUGUACUUGGUGUUACUGCGAAGGGGGGACGGAGAAGGCUAUGUUGGCCGGGCGACGGUUGUCCCGGUUUAAGCGUGUAGGCUGGUUUUCCAGGCAAAUCCGGAAAACUAAGGCUGAGGCGUGAUGACGAGGCACUAC